ensembl:snRNA U6 U6 spliceosomal RNA
GUGCUUGCUUUGGCAGCACAUAUACUCCAAUUGGAAUGAUACAGAGAAGAUUAGCAUUGCCCUUGCGCAAGGAUGACACACAAAUUUGUGAAGCAUUCCAUAUUUUU